ensembl:snoRNA
CCCGCCACUAUACCUGUCUUAAACUUGAGUGACUGGUAUAUUCCAGUGGUGAGCUAAGAACAAUCCCCAACUUAGGAAGCAGGGCUCUUCUUUCUGUGAAGAUCUCUGUGCCGAAAAGUUGGGAACAAGU